GAUGAACGCUGGCGGCGUGCCUAAUACAUGCAAGUCGAGCGAACAGACGAGGAGCUUGCUCCUCUGACGUUAGCGGUGGACGGGUGAGUAACACGUGGAUAACCUACCUAUAAGACUGGGAUAACUUCGGGAAACCGGAGCUAACACCGGAUAACAUGUUGAACCGCAUGGUUCAACAGUGAAAGACGGUCUGGCUGUCACUUAUAGAUGGAUCCGCGCCGCAUUAGCUAGUUGGUAAGGUAACGGCUUACCAAGGCAACGAUGCGUAGCCGACCUGGGAGGGUGAUCGGCCACACUGGAACUGCGACGCGGUCCAGACUCCUACGGGAGGCAGCAGUAGGGAAUAUUCCGCAAUGGGCGAAAGCCUGACGGAGCAACGCCGCGUGAGUGAAGAAGGUCUUCGGAUCGUAAAACUCUGUUAUUAGGGAAGAACAAAUUUGUAAGUAACUAUGCACGUCUUGACGGUACCUAAUCAGAAAGCCACGGCUAACUACGUGCCAGCAGCCGCCGUAACAC
rnacentral:rRNA from 1 species